rnacentral:rRNA from 1 species
AUCGGAACGUGCCCAGGAGUGGGGGAUAACGUAGCGAAAGUUACGCUAAUACCGCAUACGUACUGAGGUAGAAAGCGGGGGAUCGAAAGACCUCGCGCUCAUGGAGCGGCCGAUGUCGGAUUAGCUAGUUGGCGGGGUAAAAGCCCACCGAGGAGAUGAUCAGUAGCUGGUCUGAGAGGACGAUCAGCCACACUGGGCCUGAGACACGGGCACCGACUCCUACGGGAG